GCAAGUCCGCGGAUUUGCAGUGAACAGUUUUUACAAGGCAAGACUAACGUUCAAAAACUUUAUAAAUAUGAUUAGAAACAUCAAAUGUCGCAUUAUGGAGAAGGUAGGCGUCUAACCGUUAGUAACCAUGUUGGCAACGUCAUGUAGCCUAGCAUGUAUGGAAAGAACUGGUUAGCAUCUCGUCUUUUGUACGUUUUUAAUGUUGCUCCGAUGUAAGAAUCACCUGCUGUUUAUCACACCUGUGGUGUGGAUUCAGGUAAAGUCGGUAAUUGAAUCAACACGUCAGGAGGGAGGAGGUACGGGUCGGUUUCUAAGCUAGCUGUUUCCAACUGUUGUAAAUACGGCCGUUUAUGAGCCCAGCCAGCUGUGUUGCAUUCACAGACAAAUUAGCUCGACUCCAACAGCAGAGGUAACUGGCAAAAGCAACUUGGAAAAACUAUUUCAGUCGCUCUGUUCAAUACUCCCGUCCCUCACUUCCGAUGUCCGUCAUGGCGCCCGGAAUGAUUAAGUGACGCAACUGCAAAGGGAAUAAUUUCCAGAGGCUUAAAGAUGCUGCCUGAGUUGUGCAGUUCCACAAAUGAAAAAGGGCUUACCUCGCUGCAGAAAGACUUCGUCAUGAGACAGGGAGGGUCACAGGAGCUGUUGUCCACUGGAGGAUUCAUCGCAGGACAACCACCUGCAGAGUCGGGAGAUGAAACGGCUCUGAUGAAGUCGUUUUUCAGACGUGUGAAGUUAUCACCAAUUUACUCACUUCCCAGCACCUUUCACCAACAAGAUUGAAGUUUUUCUGAGACAAGAACAUUCCUCAAAACGAAGAGCGCGCAGCAGUGAAAACGUGAGUGAGGUGGCUGGAGACGAGAAAAGCUCUUAAAGGGCAGAGAAACAUGAAAGAUGGUGAUUUUGAACGACAAACGAUUUGUUACAGUUUAAAAUCCCAACCUGCGGUCCUCCUGCAUGGAGUCUGCAGGAUUCUCCCUGUGCAUGCCUCCAGGUACUCAGGCUUCCUCCAGUCUAAACAUUAUUGUUAGGUUAAUUGUAAGGCAUCAUCGGGAAAAAUCUGUUGUCACAAUAAGAAUUUAGAUUUAUUGUCGCCACAAUAUGAUGUUUAAAACUCUCCAAAGCUUUCCUUAUUGUCAGGAUUGAUGGUUUUACCGUCUUAUUCAUCGUUUGUUCAAAGAAAGCAUCAAUAAAUACCAAUACAUU